CUGGGAUAUAAGACCCGAAUCUCGAAGCAUGGUCUUCCCCGACUAUAAGAUUCCUCUUUACGCCCUAAUCGCCAUCCGCCCGAAAGCCCCAAAACCUCGACGCCGAUUUGCGAAGCCAAGCCGCCUUUUCCCACGCCCAGGAAGUAUGAGUAAGCGAUACAGUCGAACCAUCUACGUGGGCAAUCUCCCCGGUGACAUUCGUGAAAGGGAGGUGGAAGAUCUGUUCUACAAGUAUGGACCCAUUAUUGAUAUUGAUUUGAAGAUUCCUCCAAGGCCUCCAGGUUAUGCUUUCAUCGAGUUUGAAGAUCCUCGUGAUGCUGAAGAUGCUAUUCGUGGACGUGAUGGAUAUAAUUUUGAUGGUCACAGAUUACGAGUGGAACUUGCUCAUGGUGGUAGAGGCCAAUCUUCAUCAUUUGAUCGACAUAGUAGUCAUAGUAGUGGGGGGCGCCGUGGUGGUGUUUCCAGGCGCACAGAAUAUCGCGUAAUGGUCACUGGUUUGCCUUCGUCAGCAUCGUGGCAAGACUUAAAGGAUCAUAUGCGCCGAGCUGGUGAUGUCUGCUUUUCUGAAGUUUUUCGUGAUGGUGGUGGUACGAUUGGAAUUGUCGAUUAUACAAAUUAUGAUGAUAUGAAAUAUGCGAUUAGGAAGCUAGAUGACUCCGAGUUCCGGAAUGCAUUUUCGCGGGCAUAUAUAAGAGUGAAGGAGUACGACUCCAAGAGAAGCUUGUCUAGGAGCCGUAGUCGUAGCCGUUCAAACUCAAGAAGCCCAAGUCCGGCUCGCAGCAGGAGUCGGAGCCGAAGCAAGUCUCCUAAGGAAAAGUCAUCACGCCGUUCCUUGUCAAGGUCUCGAUCAAGAUCUGCAUCUUCUCGUUCUCGAUCAGCAUCCAAAGGACGCUCUUUGUCAAGAUUUGGGCAUAAGCGGGGAUCUCUGGAAUGCAUAUUAGGAUCUGGAUUGGAUUUGGUACAAAUGCUUGCAACUCUUUUGGUGUUGUGAGAAAGGAUUGGUUGCGCAUUAACGAGCUGGAUUAUUCUAUAAGCCAAGUGGAAUUGGGCCUCACUGGACAAGUGCUAGGAACAAGUUUUGCCAUUCUCCAACGUUCUCCCAGUACUAUAAGUUGCACUCAGGAUUCUGGAUGUAGCUUUAUUGGUACAAUAAAAAAUCCUCUCAAUAGAUUAGGAUAAUUGUUGUUGCAUAGGUACCUGAUAAUAUAGAUGCUUGCAUUUUUAUAUAUUGACUAGGCUUGCAAGUUUCUAUUGAUCUAAGGUAGUUUUUCUUUUACUCGAAGGCACAAGCAAUUACAUUUCAUGAGUGAUCACAAGUUGAUUUUGUAAUAAUCAAAUGCUUCUAAAGUAUUUUGAAUUGUUUGUUCUGCCUUCCCGCUGACGUGGAAGAGACGUUGAGGAUUUUGGAUCAAGUUGUUAAAGCAGCAAAAUGGAUAUUGAAUUCAGUUUUCUGAAACUUUUUGCAGAUCACGAUCAAGAUCCAGAUCUCCUGUAACUUCUCCCGCUCGUGAUGAGCCUGUGAACCAAAGUCCUACCAAGCGGAGUCCUAGCAAAAGCAGGAGCAGGAGCUUAUCUCGAUCUCGAUCGCCUGUGGCGAAAUCUGAUUAGACCAAUCUGCCUGAUGCGGAAGCUGUCCAAGAUGGAACGAAGUCGUUUGUUGUAUUCUUGUUUGGCCAUCUAUGAUCACUAAGACUGUUAUUGAUAAA